ACGGGGUAGUAACGGGUAGGUGACGUACCCUUCGGUCGGGGAUAGCCACGGGAAACUGUGGGUAAUACCCGAUAACCUCUUCAGGUGUAAUGAUCUGGGGAGCAAAGGUGUGAUUCCACCGGAGGAGCGGCCUGCUUCGUAUUAGCUAGUUGGUGAGGUAACGGCUCACCAAGGCGACGAUGCGUAGGGGGUGUGAGAGCAUGACCCCCACCACUGGGACUGAGAUACUGCCCAGACACCUACGGGUGGCUGCAGUCGAGAAUCUUCGGCAAUGGGCGCAAGCCUGACCGAGCGACGCCGCGUGUGGGAUGAAGGCCCUUGGGUUGUAAACCACUGUCAGAGGGGAUGAAGUGCCAGAGAGCAAUCUUUCUGGUUUGACAUAGCCUCAGAGGAAGCACGGGCUAAGUUCGUGCCAGCAGCCGCGGUAAUACGAACUGUGCGAACGUUAUUCGGAAUCACUGGGCUUACAGGGUGCGUAGGCGGCUUGUUAAGUAGGGUGUGAAAGCCCCCGGCUCAACCGGGGAAUUGCGCCCUAAACUGGCGAGCUAGAGUGAGAUAGGGGUAUGUGGAACUUCCGGU
rnacentral:rRNA from 1 species